GUAGCUCUCACAGCAUCAUUACCGCCCAAUCAGAUUGUCACACAUUUAUUAAUUCCUUCUCUCUAGAACUUAAAGGAUUCAUAGAGGUUGUCCAGUCUAUCUUUCCCCACUGAGGUCCAGAAAGUGACUUGGGAAGGUCAUACAAGUAACAAGUGAGAAAGCUGGGAUUCAAACUCAGGCCAUGAUCAAAUUCUUCUUCCUUCAGGAAGCCUUCUGAUAGACAAAAUCAAUUUUCACUUUGAACAAGAAGCAAAAAAGAGUCAAAAAAACUGUCAUGAAGGAGAUUGCAAUUGGGUUGAAUGCUAAGCCUUUUUUCCAGAUGGGCCUGAAGUUAAUCAUCUCAUUGAAUUUCCUCCUGCCUUCAUAUGGAUAAAUUAUUUCAAGAGGAUUAUCCAGAAAACAAAUCAGUGUUCUUGAAGAGCAGUCAAAGCCAUUUGGAUAGAGGUGGGACUGCAGACAUGGGCACCAGCUUGGACUGAUGCUGAAAGGAAGAGAAAAUACUGAGUCCAAGGAGCUUAUCAAUAAAAAUUAUGUAAAAUAAGACUGGAAAGAAUAU
rnacentral:lncRNA from 1 species